UAUAGACCCGAAACCCGGUGAUCUAGCCAUGGGCAGGUUGAAGGUUGGGUAACACUAACUGGAGGACCGAACCGACUAAUGUUGAAAAAUUAGCGGAUGACUUGUGGCUGGGGGUGAAAGGCCAAUCAAACCGGGAGAUAGCUGGUUCUCCCCGAAAGCUAUUUAGGUAGCGCCUCGUGAAUUCAUCUCCGGGGGUAGAGCACUGUUUCGGCAAGGGGGUCAUCCCGACUUACCAACCCGAUGCAAACUGCGAAUACCGGAGAAUGUUAUCACGGGAGACACACGGCGGGUGCUAACGUCCGUCGUGAAGAGGGAAACAACCCAGACCGCCAGCUAAGGUCCCAAAGUCAUGGUUAAGUGGGAAACGAUGUGGGAAGGCCCAGACAGCCAGGAUGUUGGCUUAGAAGCAGCCAUCAUUUAAAGAAAGCGUAAUAGCUCACUGGUCGAGUCGGCCUGCGCGGAAGAUGUAACGGGGCUAAACC
rnacentral:rRNA from 1 species